rnacentral:lncRNA from 1 species
UUGAACCAUGGAUUUUGAGGUUGCAAUGAGCUUUAAUUACUUCAGCCUGGGGAAUGGAGUGAGACCCUGUCUCUAAAAAUAAAUAAAUAAAUAAAAUAAACUUUAGUAAUAAUGGGGUAACUGUUUAGUUGGUAUUUUACUGCUUUCCAUGAUACACUCUGGAUAAACUAAUUAUUUGUUGGAUUCCAUUGAACUUUUCAGGAAUCUAUUUUUGUGUGUGUGGACUGUUACUAUUAAUAGUUCUGUGCUGUGUAUACCACCAGCUCCCAAUAAAUGUCGCAUUCAGAGCAUUUUUGCACUAGGAAGAUUUAGGGUGCAAAUGAACUCUGACAGAAGAAUCUGUAGUAUACAAGGUUUUCAGAAGACAACCCACCUGCUCCAUACUUCGAAAUAAUGAGAUUCACAACGAUUAUGAUCUUUGGCCGGGCGCGGUGGCUCACGCCUGUAAUACCAGCACUUUGGGAGGCCGAAGCGGGCGGAUCACGAGGUCAGGAGUACGAGACCAGCCUGACCAACGUGGUGAAACCCCGUCUCUACUAAAAAUACAAAAAUUAGCCGGUCGUGGUGGCGCGCGCCUGUAAUCCCAGCUUCUCGGGGGGCUGAGGCAGAAGAAUCGCUUGAACCCGGGAGGUGGAGGUUUGAGCCGAGAUCGCGCCACUGCACUCCAUCCUGGGCGACAGAGUGAAGACUCCGUCUCGAAAAAAAAAAAAAAUCAUUACCUUUGGGGAAGGCAGUAUCCGUGUCUGCCUGGCUCACUGUUUUACCCGUCGCACCUAGUUAUUUUUUCAAUAAAU